GACGAACGCUGGCGGCGUGCUUAACACAUGCAAGUCGAACGAAGAGCGACGGAAGCUUGCUUCUAUCAAUCUUAGUGGCGAACGGGUGAGUAACGCGUAAUCAACCUGCCCUUCAGAGGGGGACAACAGUUGGAAACGACUGCUAAUACCGCAUACGAUCUAACCUCGGCAUCGAGGAUAGAUGAAAGGUGGCCUCUACAUGUAAGCUAUCACUGAAGGAGGGGAUUGCGUCUGAUUAGCUAGUUGGAGGGGUAACGGCCCACCAAGGCGAUGAUCAGUAGCCGGUCUGAGAGGAUGAACGGCCACAUUGGGACUGAGACACGGCCCAGACUCCUACGGGAGGCAGCAGUGGGGAAUCUUCCGCAAUGGACGAAAGUCUGACGGAGCAACGCCGCGUGAGUGAUGACGGCCUUCGGGUUGUAAAGCUCUGUUAAUCGGGACGAAAGGCCUUCUUGCGGAUAGGGAGAAGGAUUGACGGUACCGGAAUAGAAAGCCACGGCUAACUACGUG
rnacentral:rRNA from 1 species